rnacentral:tRNA from 1 species
GACCUUUUAGUAUAUUUUUGUAUGCCCGACUUCCAAUCGGGAGGUUUGUUAGGUUA